AAUUUUAUAGUUAAAAAAUAACAUUAAAUUGCAAAUUUAAAAUUAUAUAAAAAUUUAUAUUAAAAUUU
rnacentral:tRNA from 1 species